rnacentral:rRNA from 1 species
UGGCGGCAUGCCUUACACAUGCAAGUCGAACGGCAGCACGGGUGCUUGCACCUGGUGGCGAGUGGCGAACGGGUGAGUAAUAUAUCGGAACGUGCCCUAGAGUGGGGGAUAACGUAGCGAAAGUUACGCUAAUACCGCAUACGAUCUAUGGAUGAAAGUGGGGGAUCGCAAGACCUCAUGCUCCUGGAGCGGCCGAUAUCUGAUUAGCUAGUUGGUGGGGUAAAAGCCUACCAAGGCGACGAUCAGUAGCUGGUCUGAGAGGACGACCAGCCACACUGGGACUGAGACACGGCCCAGACUCCUACGGGAGGCAGCAGUGGGGAAUUUUGGACAAUGGGGGAAACCCUGAUCCAGCAAUGCCGCGUGUGUGAAGAAGGCCUUCGGGUUGUAAAGCACUUUUGUCAGGAACGAAACGGUGGGGGCUAAUACCUCCUGCUAAUGACGGUACCUGAAGAAUAAGCACCGGCUAACUACGUGCCAGCAGCCGCGGUAAUACGUAGGGUGCGAGCGUUAAUCGGAAUUACUGGGCGUAAAGCGUGCGCAGGCGGUUGUGCAAGACAGAUGUGAAAUCCCCGGGCUUAACCUGGGAAUUGCAUUUGUGACUGCACGGCUAGAGUGUGUCAGAGGGGGGUAGAAUUCCACGUGUAGCAGUGAAAUGCGUAGAUAUGUGGAGGAAUACCGAUGGCGAAGGCAGCCCCCUGGGAUAACACUGACGCUCAUGCACGAAAGCGUGGGGAGCAAACAGGAUUAGAUACCCUGGUAGUCCACGCCCUAAACGAUGUCUACUAGUUGUCGGGUCUUAAUUGACUU